UACGAAGGGGGCUAGCGUUGUUCGGAAUUACUGGGCGUAAAGCGCACGUAGGCGGCUUUCUAAGUCGGGGGUGAAAUCCUGGAGCUCAACUCCAGAACUGCCUUCGAUACUGGAAAGCUCGAGUCCGGGAGAGGUGAGUGGAACUGCGAGUGUAGAGGUGAAAUUCGUAGAUAUUCGCAAGAACACCAGUGGCGAAGGCGGCUCACUGGCCCGGUACUGACGCUGAGGUGCGAAAGCGUGGGGAGCAAACGGG
rnacentral:rRNA from 1 species